rnacentral:rRNA from 1 species
CCUACGGGUGGCAGCAGUGGGGAAUAUUGGACAAUGGGGGGAACCCUGAUCCAGCCAUGCCGCGUGUGUGAAGAAGGCCCUCGGGUUGUAAAGCACUUUCAGUGAGGAAGAACGCCUGGUGGUUAAUACCCAUCAGGAAAGACAUCACUCACAGAAGAAGCACCGUCUAACUCCGUGCCAGCAGCCGCGGUAAUACGGAGGGUGCGAGCGUUAAUCGGAAUUACUGGGCGUAAAGCGCGCGUAGGUGGCUUGAUAAGCCGGUUGUGAAAGCCCCGGGCUCAACCUGGGAACGGCAUCCGGAACUGUCAAGCUAGAGUGCAGGAGAGGAAGGUAGAAUUCCCGGUGUAGCGGUGAAAUGCGUAGAGAUCGGGAGGAAUACCAGUGGCGAAGGCGGCCUUCUGGACUGACACUGACACUGAGGUGCGAAAGCGUGGGUAGCAAACAGGAUUAGAUACCCUUGUAGUC